UUAUUUUGUUCGGGUUGUGUGAUUGCUGACGGAACUUAAUGACCGCUUUACUGAGAGUUAUAAGAGAGAAUCAGAUAUUACUUAUUUUGUUCGGGUUGUGUGAUUGCUGACGGAACUUAAUGACCGCUUUACUGAGAGUUAUAAGAGAGAAUCAGAUAUUACUUAUUUUGUUCGGGUUGUGUGAUUGCUGACGGAACUUAAUGACCGCUUUACUGAGAGUUAUAAGAGAGAAUCAGAUAUUACUUAUUUUGUUCGGGUUGUGUGAUUGCUGACGGAACUUAAUGACCGCUUUACUGAGAGUUAUAAGAGAGAAUCAGAUAUUACUUAUUUUGUUCGGGUUGUGUGAUUGCUGACGGAACUUAAUGACCGCUUUACUGAGAGUUAUAAGAGAGAAUCAGAUAUUACUUAUUUUGUUCGGGUUGUGUGAUUGCUGACAGAACUUAAUGACCGCUUUACUGGGAGUUACACGGGAGGAUCAAAUAUUACUUAUUUUGUUCGGGGUGUGUGAUUGCUGACAGAACUUAAUGACCGCUUUACUGAGAUUUAUAAGAGAGAAUCAGAUAUUACUUAUUUUGUUCGGUUUGUGUGAUUGCUGACAGAACUGGGAGUUACACGGGAGGAUCAGAUAUUACUUUUGUUCGCGGUAUGUGAUUGAUGUCUGUUGGACAAUACUGACAGAAUGCAGAUCAUUGCUUAGAGAUAUCGUCAAUAGUCUUCUGUUAGUAAAGUCACGUGGACAGCCGACAAACAGCGCUGAACAAGUGUACAGGAGAAACUUUUCUGUUUUUGUGGGCUUAAUUUCGAUUUCGGAAAGUGCACCACCUUACGUAAUUCUGGAUUAAAUCAAGUUCCUUAAUGGCCACCACCUCUACUCCAGGUCCGCCAAAGACAGGCCCCAAGAUUCGCCGGCAGGUAUCUGAACCCGCCCGUGCGACGGACGCCCCGGGGAAUGUACCAUUAGAGGACGCGACAAUGGACACGCGGCAUGACAUUUUUAAAAACCUCGCAACGGACACGGCUCGUCGUGUUGUGAAGGAUCUUGACCUUGAUCAUAAACUGAGAUAUUUCUCCAGAUUUGGCUCCAAGGAUAUGGAAAAGACAAGGCCGAUAUAGACUGUGCUCAGAAUGCACAUUCAAUGUUUGUAAUGUAUUUUUAAUUCAGCGUUGUCAAGCUUAAUAAUUAAUUAGUUCACUGUUCACAUAUCAGAAUGGUGCUAUUUGUGUUCAUUCAAGACGACAGACAUGGCUUCCUUAGGCAUAUAAUCUUAUUUUCAAUAUUGUGAACGAUUUUUUUUUUUAAUUUGGUAAAGUUUUCCAAAAAGAUUAUCGUCCAAAAUGAUUAUCAACACUUUGCAUAGUGAGAACUUGUACAAGUCUUACAUGCGUAUCUGUAAUAGCACUACAGGGGCGGAUCCAGGAAUUGCAGUUACGGGGCGCCACUUUAUGAGGCUGGGGUCCCCUUGAGGCCCCCAGUGGGUCCAGGGCAAAAGCCCUGGUGGGAGCCCCGAAAGCUCCUGGAUUUUACAAAUUUUACAGGGCUUGAAAUAUGUCUCCUAUUCAGUCAUUUGUACUAUUUUCAAUCAUUUUUUAAUAAGGCGAAAUUAAUAGAAUGACGCAAAUUUUAAGGGUUUUUGGAAAAAAUUUAAAAGUUCUCCCAAUAAAGUAACUCAAGAAAUCAAAAGAUUUUGUCAUUCAUUUCUCUAGGAGUGGAAGAAAUUAUUGCUUCUUUUAUCUUUUAGUACAUUUUUCUAAACAAGAUACCACAAUUUGCCUUAAAUUUGAAAAUUUUAGGGGGGGGGGACAGUCCCUUAAAUCCACCACUGCGCUGUACUGUAUUUUUACUGGAAGGGCACAAAUAAUGAUACUAUAAAGUGAUAAUAAACAUAUUUACAUACAUGGGGAAAUCACGGAAUAUUUUACUCAAAGUACGAUGUUAUCAUGUAGCGCUACAGGCUUUCCGGUUGUGUGGCUACCUAUGAUACAUGUAAUAUGCACAUCAAGGAUAUGUUCUUAGCCGUCAGAAGGCCUGUGUGUAAUAUGCACAUCAAGGAUAUGUUCUUAGCUGUCAGAAGGCCUGUGUGUAAUAUGCACAUCAAGGAUAUGUUCUUAGCUGUCAGAAGGCCUGUGUGUAAUAUGCUGAUGUUAUGUACUCUUUGACUGUGCAGUGCAUGACUUUUAAACACUCAUUUCAUUGUGUUGGUGAUCGAUUAUAGGCUACAGGAAGAAUACAGGACAGGGGUAUCUGGUUUUGUAUUUUUGUUUGUUUGUUUUUUGUUUUGUAUGCUUAAGGAGACACCCACCUGCUGACUUAAUUUUAAGAUUUUUAUUCAGGACUUAUCCGCAAUCUGAUGAAAAUCAGAUCCUAUGAUCCGCUCACGUAGAACACUAGGUUAGGGUUAUGUACACCUGUGUAGCAUCUAUGUGAACGGAUCAUAGGAUCGGAUUUUAAUAAGAUUGAGCUUACCCUUGCUUUAAAUGUUACCUUCAUCUAUCGAAUUGUAAUGGAAUUCUCUGUACAUAUAUAUAAGGAGACAAUUUGUGUGCAUCAUUAUUAUGGAAAUCUUUAUUGUUUAGUCUUAGAAAAUGUAUAAUAAUGCCGUGUUACGAUUCACGCUUCGGAAUAUUGGGUCAUGCUGUUUAGAAAAUGUAUACUAAUGCCGUGUGAAGAUCCACGCUGUCAAUAUUGGGCCUUGCUUUUUUUCUGCUGUAGUGUAGCCCAUCUGUGUUGUCAAUCUAAUUAAAAUCAGAUCUUCUGUAACCGUUACCCUGAAGAAGGGUAUGACGGCACUGCGUUUGAGGUCAUGCUAUUUCACCUUUCACACUUGAUCAAUCAAAUGACGGCUUUUUAUCGGAGCAUACUUGGUAUUUAUCAUACGCAUGCCAAUAAUUACCGAGGAACACGGAGAAUAAUCGAAGAAGAUGGUGGCGGCCAUGAGCGAUGUUAGAACGCCACAUAAAAUAUAUCUGAUUGAUAAUGGAUGUAUAAUAUCUUAACUUAUUGAUAUUCCUUUAACGCUGAUAUUUGAAAUUUGUUUAAAGUUUUCACGGAUCGACACCAUUUCUGUGAAGUUACAAUCCGAAUACGAUUCAGUAAAACUGAUUGGUCCUUGAUUCACUGUCAAGCUAUUGUUAUUGGUCGAAUAUCUAUUGAAUUAUUCACGAGACUGCGGCCAACAACAUGGCUGUCAGAUCCUUCUCCAGCGUAACGGUUAGAGAAGAUCUGAUUAUGAUUAUAUUGGUAUGUUGUUUGUCAAUGGAGUACUUAGGAAUCUUGAUAUUCUACGUUUACUUCAAAGAGUAGAAAGUUUUUAUAUAUUAUUUUCCUUUUCUAUCUUUUGUUUUAUACCUAUUGAAUUAAAUACUUAUUCCACUUUUAA